UCUCUCCUCUCUCUCUCUCUCUCUCAAUCUUGUCUCUGCAGGGCGCCGGCGGGUGGGGAGGAGGCCGGCGGGGAGCUCCUCCUGCGUGGCCGCGAGCUCCGCGUCAAAGGGUGGUGGGUGCUGCCGGUCAAGGCGUACCACGCCGCGGGGCGGCUGACGGGCGCCGCGUCCGCCAUGCUUGCCGUCGCAACCUGCGGGAUGCCUCUGCAGCAUGGUGCCGUUGCGCGGGGCCAAGCGCCGGAGGAGAAGGCUGCAAUGGCGGCGGCCGCUGUGGCGGGUGGCGCGCCCGGAGCAGAUCGCGAGGCGGACCGACGCCGAUGCCGCGCCGGGGGAGAGCACAGCGCUGCGGGCGCGCUCCUACGGCUGCAUCCGGGUGUUCCUCGUCCUAUCCCUGCUGCUGCUCGCCGUCGAGAUCGCCGCCUACCUCUAGGGGCCUUGCUCCCCCCGCCGCCGCCUACCUCGGCCAGGAGGACAGGGGAGCGCCGUUUUCGUACCCAGCCACCAAUACCCCAUCUUGAAUAUUGAUAUAUACUCUGAAUUUUGAGAGCUUUUGGUGUGUGUUUUUGUUUCAUGGUUGCCCUCUCGAUCUUCAUGGUCAUGGGGCGACUUUGUCCUCCAGCGGAAUCGAUCGAUCCACCCGUCCGUGGCCAUAGCCGCCGUCGCCGGUCAAUACAUCAUCCACGCAAUUGUCCUGCUCCUCUCCCAAGAAAACCACGCAAGCGAGCUCCGCGGAAACCGAUCUCCGCUGCCGACGACAAAAUAGGCGAUUUAGAUGCAAGAUUGGGGAACGGCGGGGAGGAUUCCUGCUCCAUGUUGAUCUUCCGCAGCAGCCGUGACCGCGUCCAUGUCCCCAUCAGCCGCCAUCCCGCCAUCCGGCGGGGACGAGGGUCGCCCUCCUCCUCCCACCACCGCGCUCGCCUCCUGCCCUGUGCCGCGCCGUGCCGUUCCUCAUCGUCGACAGCCUCUCCCGCAACCACGACGGCGCGCCGCAGCGGCGUCGGGGCAGACGGGCAGUUGGGCCUCCCCAUGCUCCCCCUUCGCCUCCCCCCAUGCUCCCACCACCGCCGCCAUCGGCUGCCGCACCUCCUCUCCUGCCUCGCCCCGCCGGCCUCCUCCCCACCUGCCGCUGCCCUGCCCGAAUGAGGUGAAGAGUGAGAGAGAGGAGGAGGUGAGAAAACAGUGAAAAGAGAUUGGUGAUGACGUGGACAGUCUGACAGAUGGGCCCCAUGUGGGUCCCACGCUGACUCAGCCGCCACGGCGGACAAAACCAGGGACAAAAUCACCGAAGGACCUAAAAUGAACGGUUUUGUAAGUUGAGGGAUGUCCUAUAUCUGAUUUUGUGGUUGGAGGAUGAUUUUGAAAUUUGAUGACAAGUUGAGGGACCUUUGGUGUACUUUUUUCUUCCAUAAAUAGAUUUCCACUAUUAGUGCCA